rnacentral:rRNA from 1 species
UGGGGAAUAUUGCACAAUGGGCGAAAGCCUGAUGCAGCGACGCCGCGUGAGGGAUGACGGCCUUCGGGUUGUAAACCUCUUUCAGCAGGGACGAAGCGCAAGUGACGGUACCUGCAGAAGAAGCACCGGCUAACUACGUGCCAGCAGCCGCGGUAAUACGUAGGGUGCAAGCGUUGUCCGGAAUUACUGGGCGUAAAGAGUUCGUAGGCGGUUUGUGGCGUCGUUUGUGAAAACCAGCAGCUCAACUGCUGGCUUGCAGGCGAUACGGGCAGACUUGAGUACUGCAGGGGAGACUGGAAUUCCUGGUGUAGCGGUGAAAUGCGCAGAUAUCAGGAGGAACACCGGUGGCGAAGGCGGGUCUCUGGGCAGUAACUGACGCUGAGGAACGAAAGCGUGGGUAGCGAACAGG